UACGUAGGGGGCAAGCGUUGUCCGGAAUCAUUGGGCGUAAAGGGUGCGUAGGCGGCGCGGUAAGUCGGGUGUGAAAUCUCGGAGCUUAACUCCGAAACUGCAUUCGAUACUGCCGUGCUUGAGGACUGGAGAGGAGACUGGAAUUCCCGGUGUAGCGGUGAAAUGCGCAGAUAUCGGGAGGAACACCAAUGGCGAAGGCAGCUCGCUGGGACGGUACUGACGCUGAGACGCGAAAGCGUGGGGAGCAAACAGG
rnacentral:rRNA from 1 species